UCUGGUUGAUCCUGCCAGUAGUGAUAUGCUUGUUUCAAAGAUUAAGCCAUGCAUGUCUAAGUAUAAGCGAACUUAUACAGUGAAACUGCGGAUGGCUCAUUAAAACAGUUUGAAUUUAUUUGAUGAAUGUAUGAGAAUACUACUUGGAUAACCGUAGUAAUUCUAGAGCUAAUACAUGCAACGACGCCCGACCGUUUCACUACGGAAGGGCUGUAUUUAUUGGAUACCAAAACCAUCCUUCCCUCGGGAAGUUUUGUUUUGAUGAUUCACAAUAACUGAUCGGAUCGCCACUGUGGUGGCGACAGGUCAUUCAACAUUCUGCCCUAUCAGCUUUCGAUGGUUGUGUAGUGGACAACCAUGGCCAUAACGGGUAACGGAGAAUCAGGGUUCGAUUCCGGAGAAGGAGCUUGAGAAUUGGCUACUACAUCUAAGGAAGGCAGCAGGCGCGCAAAUUACCCAAUCCCGAUUCGGGGAGGUAGUGACAAAAAAUAACAAUACCGGGCCUUUUUGGGCUUGGUAAUUGGAAUGAGGGAGAGUUAAACGGACCAUCGAGUAUCCAUUGGAGGGCAAGUCUGGUGCCAGCAGCUGCGGUAAUACCAGCUCCAAUAGCGUAUAUUAAAGUUGUUGCAGUUAAAAAGCUCGUAGUUGGACUUGUGUGCGCUGUCCGCGGGUGGCCUGCGCCCAAAAGGGCGUUUCGGUUCGGCCCCGGUGGCGCCUUGAAAUCUGCAGCUGGGGGGACGUUGGCCUUAACUGGUCGGCGACCGCACGCCGGCUGCUCGGUUACUGUGAGAAAAUUAGAGUGUUCAAGGCAGGCAUUGGGUGCAAUUGAAUACAUUAGCAUGGAAUAAUAAAAUAUGGCUCCUGCCGUAUUUUGUUGGUUUUGACUGGUGGGAGUAAUGAUUGAUAGGGACGGUUGGGGGUGCUAGUAUUGAGCGGCCAGAGGUGAAAUUUAUGGAUUCGCUCAAGACUAACUUAUGCGAAAGCAUUCACCAAGGACGUCCUCUUUAAUCAAGAACGAAAGUUGGGGGAUCGAAGACGAUCAGAUACCGUCGUAGUCUCAACCAUAAACUAUGUCGACUUGGGAUCGGCGGUAGUUUUUUCAUUAAGACACUGUCGGGACCACGGGAGAAAUCAAAGUGUCUGGACUCUGGGGGAAGUAUGGUCGCAAGGCUGAAACUUGAAGGAAUUGACGGAAGGGCACCACCAGGAGUGGAGCCUGCGGCUUAAUUUGACUCAACACGGGGAAACUUACCAGGUCCAGAGAUGUAGAGGAUUGACAGAUUGAAGCUCUUUCUUGAUCACUUCGGUGGUGGUGCAUGGCCGUUCUUAGUUGGUGGAGUGAUUUGUCUGGUU
rnacentral:rRNA from 1 species